AAAAAAAAAAAAAAAAAAAAAAGAAAAGAAAAAGAAAUCUGGGUACCCGCGAAUGCGAUUUUUUUUAGGUUUACCGAUGAUCAGUUUAGCAGUGCCUGGGAGCUCUUAUACCAAGUUUGUUUUCGCAAUAUUGAGUCCCACCUUAGCUAAGCUUGUGUGUAUUUUAAACUCCCAUGGAAGUCAGGAAAUGUCCGCAAACGCGAUUUCUGGUUACCAAGCUCCGUUUGGCAAUAGCAAGUCCUGCCGAACGCGACUUUUUCCUCUUGUGGACCAAGUCUGAAUAGACCAGCUACUGCGAUUUUUAAGUCGUAGUAAAAAAGGUUUAACCGUGACUGCUUUUUUUUGUUGGUGUUGUUUGUUUUUGUUUUUGUUUUCGUAGGAAAUGUAGACUUAGGUGUAACAUGUACCGGUUUAGAUCUGACAGAGAUAUCACAAUUGUAGGAUUGCAUCUUUUAGCAAGGUUUGUAAUUUCUUCUUUCUAGGAUUGGUUCUCUGUAAUUUUUGCUUAUUUUUAAAUUCUCUCUUUGUCUUUUGCUCUGAGAACGAUGUUACCGAUGUGUUUGCUUUCCAUGUUUACUUGCAUUUUAGCCUUUAUUUUUUUAAUUUUGAUUUUAUUUAAAUGUUAUGUAUUUUUUUUCUACUAAUUUUGAGCGUCUCAGCUUCCUGCUUCUUUACUUACAUUCUCUCAGGAUCCGGGGAGCCGAGCUCGGUCUCAGUCUCCCUGCUGUCAGGUGCCAGGUUGUGUCUGGUGGCUCUCCUUCGUAUGCGGAGCUGAUGGUUUUGCAUCAGCGCUUUUGCCAGUAGAGCCGACUAGCGUUUUCUCAGUUACGGCACCGUUCUUAGCGCCCAGUGUGACGUUUCCCAUUCGCCAGGUCCUUAUGUUCUCUGUGCUGUCACUUUCUUGGUUCUCGCACCGCUAGUAUCUGCUAAAGAACUUCCUAAACCAUGUUUUACUGUGCAGAACGGUGAUUGCACGGAGCCGCUGUACGCACUAGUAAUUUCAUAGCACCGUUAGCUGGCGCUUUUUCUGUCACAACACAUUAAAACGGGUUAAAAUACUGCAAGCGGAUUAAACACAUUAAGAGGAUUAAAACAUUAAAAUGUCUCAACACAUUUUUCUGACACAACACAUUUAAACGGAGUGGGUUCAUUCCUCCGAAGAGGAUGUUUAGGCGUGGAAGCACCGCUGUUUCCCAAGAGCACGGUUUCUCUCUGGCAGCACCACUUAUGGCACCAAAACAGGUAUUUUUUGGCAACACCAGCACUAUUCGCUAGGUGCCGGCGCUUGCUGAGUCCCAGCGCCGCCAGUUUCUCUUUCGGUCGUUAAGUAGCUCAGAGCCCUAGCGGACAGUUUUCAGGUGGCAGUAAUGCUCAUUUCCUGGAACAGAUGGUUCGUGGCCCUUGAAGCGCUGCGAUCUGUAAAGCUAGUUCUCUGCAAGGGCUUUGACUCCUGAGUCUAAAAAGGUCACUAACUCCCGCUAAAUUGAGAGCAAUUGAAGCCUCAUCUUCAGAUCUAGGAGAAGAUGAAAAUCAGAAUAAGCUGCAGUCAUGAGACAUGGCGCCAGAAAUUAAGACUAUUCAAACCCUCUAGUCCCAGGGACUAUUGAAGAAGAAGUGGAUAAGGUCUAGAUCUGUCACCCAGGCUGGAGUACAGUG
rnacentral:lncRNA from 1 species